ensembl:lncRNA
CUGGCUCGUCAAGAUCCCCUGGAGGAGGAAAUAGCAACCCCCACUCCAGUAUUGUUGCCUGGAGAAUCCCAUGGACAGAGGAGCCUGGUGGUUACAGUCCGUGGGGUUGCAAAGAAUUAAUUGGACAUGAUUGAGCACUAAGCAACAACUUCAAGCUGGAAAACAACCCAGAGCACACUCAUUCCCCCGAUGCAGGAAGCCCAGGCUCCUGCAGGCAUCCUCUUGCGAGCGUCUGGGUGCUGCUAGCUUUCCCCACUCCCAGGCAGAUUCUUUACCGUCUGGACCUCUAGGGAGACACAGGACAAUGC